rnacentral:rRNA from 1 species
AGCUCCAAUAGCGUAUAUUAAAGUUGUUGCGGUUAAAAAGCUCGUAGUUGGAUUUCUGUUGAGGUCAGCCGGUGUGCUCCAUGAGCAUUAUUUGGUUUGGUCUCGGCAUCCUCCUGGGGAGCGUCUCUGGCCUUCGUUGGACAGGGCGAGAUUCAGGACUUUUACUUUGAGGAAAUUAGAGUGUUCACGGCAGGCAAGUGCUUUGAAUACAUUAGCAUGGAAUAAUAAUAUAGGACCUUCGUUCUAUUUUGUUGGUUUCUAGAGCU